rnacentral:rRNA from 1 species
GAGGUGUGGAUAGGGGAGAAAUUCCAAUCGAACCCGGAGAUAGCUGGUUCUCCUCGAAAUAGCUUUAGGGCUAGCCUCGAUACAGAUUUGCGGAGGUAGAGCACUGAAUUUCCUAGGGGGCGUCAAAGCCUACCGAAGAAUAUCAAACUCCGAAUGCCGCGUAAUCGAUUAUCGGGAGUCAGACUGCACGAGAUAAGUUGGGCGGUCAAAAGGGAAAGAGCCCAGACCUUCAGUUAAGGUCCCCAAGUGCGCGUUAAGUGGAAAAGGAUGUGGGAUUUCGAAGACAACCAGGAUGUUGGCUCAGAAGCAGCCAUCCAUUCAAAGAGUGCGUAAUAGCUCACUGGUCGAGAGGUCCUGCGCCGAAAAUGUCCGGGGCUGAAACGCGCCACCGAAACUAAGGAACCGAAAGGUUGGUAGAGGAGCAUUGCAUGCGGGAAGAAGCAGUACCGGAAGGAGCUGUGGACUGCAUGGAAGAGAGAAUGCCGGAAUGAGUAGCGAGAAUAAGGUGAGAAUCCUUAUGGCCGAAUAUCCAAGGUUUCCAGAGUAAAGCUGAUCUGCUCUGGGUAAGUCGGGGCCUAAGGCGAGGACGAGAGUCGUAGCCGAUGGACAACAGGUGGAGAUUCCUGUACUGCGGUAUGACAGAACUGUGGGGACACGUAAGGAAAGCGGAAGCCGGGAAUGGAAAGCCCGGUGCAAGCGGGGUACCAGUCACUUUGGCAAAUCCGGGUGGCAAUGGGAAGCCGUGAUGCGGAGUGAAAUAAAGUAACGAAGUCCGUGAGCCAUGCGUCAAGAAAAGCCGCUAUCGUUUAUACCGUACCCGUACCGUAAACCGACACAGGUGGAUGAGGAGAGAAUCCUAAGGCCGGCGGAAGAAGCAUUGUCAAGGAACUCGGCAAAAUGGCCCCGUAACUUAGGGAUAAGGGGUGCCUGGGAAACCAGGCCGCAGAGAAUAGGCUCAAGCAACUGUUUAGCAAAAACACAGGUCUAUGCGAAACCGAAAGGUGAGGUAUAUGGGCUGACGCCUGCCCGGUGCUGGAAGGUUAAGAGGAGAGGUUAGCGCAAGCGAAGCUUUGAAUUUAAGCCCCAGUAAACGGCGGCCGUAACUAUAACGGUCCUAAGGUAGCGAAAUUCCUUGUCGGGUAAGUUCCGACCCGCACGAAAGGCGUAAUGAUUUGAGCGCUGUCUCGACAAUGCAUCCGGUGAAAUUGAAGUACCAGUGAAGAUGCUGGUUACCUGCGCCAGGACGGAAAGACCCCAUGGAGCUUUACUCCAGUCUGGUACUGGGACUCGGUAUUGCAUGUACAGGAUAGGUGGGAGGCUAGGAGAUGGUAACGCCAGUUGCCAUGGAGCCGCUGUUGGGAUACCACCCUUGCAGUAUUGGGUUUCUAACCAGCCGCCGUGACCCGGCGGUGGGACAAUGCCAGACGGGGAGUUUGACUGGGGCGGUCGCCUCCGAAAGGGUAUCGGAGGCGCCCAAAGGUUCCCUCAGAAUGGACGGAAACCAUUCGAAGAGUGCAAAGGCAGAAGGGAGCUUGACUGCGACACCGACGGGUGGAGCAGGUACGAAAGUAGGACUUAGUGAUCCGGUGGUAUGAAAGUGGGAUUGCCAUCGCUCAACGGAUAAAAGCUACCCUGGGGAUAACAGGCUUAUCACUCCCAAGAGUUCACAUCGACGGAGUGGUUUGGCACCUCGAUGUCGGCUCAUCGCAUCCUGGGGCUGUAGUAGGUCCCAAGGGUUGGGCUGUUCGCCCAUUAAAGCGGUACGCGAGCUGGGUUCAGAACGUCGUGAGACAGUUCGGUCCCUAUCCGGCGUGGGCGUAGGAUAUCUGAGAGGAGCUGUCCUUAGUACGAGAGGACCGGGAUGGACGGGCCGCUGGUGCAUCGGUUAGACUGCCAAGUCUACGGCCGAGUAGCCAAGCCCGGAAGGGAUAAACGCUGAAGGCAUCUAAGCGUGAAGCCCCCCUUAAGAUGAGAUAUCCCAUUCGAAAGAAGUAAACCCCCUUGAAGACGACGAGGUAGAUAGGGCAGAGGUGGAAGUGCAGCAAUGCAUGGAGCUGACUGUUACUAAUCGGGUGAGGGCUUGACCAA